CCUACGGGAGGCAGCAGUGGGGAAUAUUGCACAAUGGGCGCAAGCCUGAUGCAGCGACGCCGCGUGAGGGAUGACGGCCUUCGGGUUGUAAACCUCUUUCAGUAGGGAAGGAGCGAAAGUGACGGUACCUGCAGAAGAAGCGCCGGCUAACUACGUGCCAGCAGCCGCGGUAAUACGUAGGGCGCAAGCGUUAUCCGGAAUUAUUGGGCGUAAAGAGCUCGUAGGCGGUUUGUCGCGUCUGCCGUGAAAGUCCGGGGCUCAACUCCGGAUCUGCGGUGGGUACGGGCAGACUAGAGUGAUGUAGGGGAGACUGGAAUUCCUGGUGUAGCGGUGAAAUGCGCAGAUAUCAGGAGGAACACCGAUGGCGAAGGCAGGUCUCUGGGCAUUAACUGACGCUGAGGAGCGAAAGCAUGGGGAGCGAACAGGAUUAGAUACCCUGGUAGUCCAUGCCGUAAACGUUGGGCACUAGGUGUGGGGGACAUUCCACGUUUUCCGCGCCGUAGCUAACGCAUUAAGUGCCCCGCCUGGGGAGGUACGGCGCGAGACGAACACAANAGAGUAGACGCGUGAGACGNGCGACGGACGACGACGAGGGAGGAGG
rnacentral:rRNA from 1 species